rnacentral:rRNA from 1 species
CAGUAGCCACGGUAAUACGUAGGGUGCGAGCGUUAAUCGGAAUUACUGGGCGUAAAGCGUGCGCAGGCGGUUAUAUAAGACAGAUGUGAAAUCCCCGGACUCAACCUGGGACCUGCAUUUGUGACUGUAUAGCUAGAGUACGGUAGAGGGGGAUGGAAUUCCGCGUGUAGCAGUGAAAUGCGUAGAUAUGCGGAGGAACACCGAUGGCGAAGGCAAUCCCCUGGGCCUGUACUGACGCUCAUGCACGAAAGCGUGGGGAGCAAACAGGAUUAGAUACCCGGGUAGUCCCUGUCUCUUAUAC